rfam:Oryza brachyantha chromosome 6, whole genome shotgun sequence.
AAUAACUUUAUUUUUCGUUUUUCCGUAUCCGACGUUUAACCAUUCGUCUUAUUUGAAAAUUUUAUAAAAAACUUAAAAAAAUUAGUUACAUAUAAAGUAUUAUUCAUAUUUUAUCAUCUCGUAACAAUAAAAAUAUUAAUCAUAAAAAAUUUUAAAUAAGACGAAUAGUUAAACGUUUGACAUGAAAAAACGAAAAGUGAGGUUAUU